UACGUAGGGGGCUAGCGUUGUCCGGAUUUAUUGGGCGUAAAGAGCGUGUAGGCGGCCAGGUAGGUCCGGUGUGAAAACUCGAGGCUUAACCUCGAGAUGUCAUCGGAAACCAUCUGGCUAGAGUCCGGAAGAGGAAAGUGGAAUUCCUGGUGUAGCGGUGAAAUGCGCAGAUAUCAGGAAGAACACCAAUGGCGAAAGCAGCUUUCUGGGACGGUACUGACGCUGAGGAGCGAAAGCAUGGGGAGCGAACAGG
rnacentral:rRNA from 1 species